UACGAAGGGGGCUAGCGUUGCUCGGAAUCACUGGGCGUAAAGCGCACGUAGGCGGCUUUUUAAGUCAGAGGUGAAAUCCUGGAGCUCAACUCCAGAACUGCCUUUGAUACUGAGAGGCUUGAGUCCGGGAGAGGUGAGUGGAACUGCGAGCGUAGAGGUGAAAUUCGUAGAUAUUCGCAAGAACACCAGUGGCGAAGGCGGCUCACUGGCCCGGUACUGACGCUGAGGUGCGAAAGCGUGGGGAGCAAACAGG
rnacentral:rRNA from 1 species